AGUGCAUCCACAAAUGAAAUGGCAUAAAAAUCAGUAGUCCUUCAGCAAUAGCAUCUCCAAGAUAAAUAUUUUUGUAGUAGGCUUGGUACACGAUAAACUUAUUUUAAGGCUAUCUGUUGGGUAAAGAGUUGAUAGUCCAAGGUUCGCUGUACCGGUCGGUACCAGUCGGUACCGAGCGUACCGUACCCGUACCGAUGGGUACCGGUAUCGGUACACCAAUGUUGGUACGGUCGGUAUCGAGCGUACGGUACCGUACCGACACUCGGUACGCCUAUACUAGUGCGGCACCGGUACGGGGUUCGGUACCGGUACGGCGAACCUUGGUUGAUACCUUGCAUCUAUUUUAGAGAUUUCAUAUAUGACAUUGUUAACAGUUAGAUCACUCUAUCAACCACCCAUGAAUGUGUUUGACUUCCCUCCUUAUGAGAGGAGAAGAGCCCAUUGAUUAUUGAGCUGGAUUAGGUGAAAUAGAGCGGCAUAUUAUUAUUAUUUUUACCAAAAAAGGAAACUAAAUCCAAAGAC
rnacentral:lncRNA from 1 species